CUCCCUCCUUUGCUCCACCUUCCGUGCCCCAUCUCCUCCUCAUCCUCUGAAAUCGCCUGCGCAGCCGUCGGACUCCUCCGCCGCUUGCCCACGGAUCGUCGCUUUCUUCUGCCGUGGCCGGGCCGAGGACUACCUGAGGCUCCUAUGACGAGGAGCAGGAGAAAGACGGAGUCGUCGCGAAUCCCGACACGUUUCUCCUUCGUUGGGGCUAUAAAUGGGGUUCGCUUCGGCCGAUCAUCAUCGGAGUCGCUGGUUUCCCCUCGAAGAUACGAUUGAGAUCCCGUUCCUAGUCCCUCGCCGUCGCACGCUUCCAUGUGUACAUCGGAGUCCGCCACCGCUCGCACGAGGAUCGUCGCUUUCUUCUUCUGCGGCUCCCAUGACGAGGUGGAGAACGGAGCCGUCCUCCUAAUCUUUCAGUCUACGUGGAGUGUGAUCUGUACUUCACUCAGCCAUCGAAGGCUUUCAUGUGGACGAUGCAUUCUGCGACGUGGAGCCGGAGGAUGAGGAAGCCGUGAAGCCUUCGCGAGGAUCGAGAAGUUUGAGGGAAAACGAGCGUAGAGACACAGGUAAAGAUCGAUAUUCAGAGGAAUGAUGAUCUUUCGCACAAAAGACACACGAAGACAAAGACAAACAAGCUGAGAAGAAUACGUAGCACACAAAGGUCGGGAUGGUUGAGUUUGAACUACGAUUCAAUGUUAGCAACUAUACUUGAUGGUGCUCAAGGCAAGCGAGGUGCUUGGUAAAGGAUGAGAUAAUGUAAGGUGGAAUGAGUUAUUUAGCGACCGAAAGAGUUGUGCAAAGCUCACAGAGGAAUUGCUAACUCGAAGAAUUCGGUACUCAUGCAAAGGCUUGUAUACAAACGAUGGAGUGUUCGUGGCCAUCUCAAGGCGACCGAAACUCAACGCUAUGAAGCAUUGAAACUUUCUCUUCAACAUGAGAAGGAUACGUCCAUAGGAGGCUGAAGUAUAUAACGAGUUCAAUAUGUUGUUAGGCCUUGAAGGGUACAGCGAGGGCUAUAUUGGCGUGGUAUUACAAUCUAGCAAGUGCAUUUGUAGGAGGCAGAAUAAUGCAUAGUUUGUUCAAUAAGGCGGAGUAGUCCAAGGGGAUGGUGGUCUCUAAAAUUUUCAGAUAGAAGGAAGCGAAGAGAGAAGUUGCUCCAACGAGAUGGAUAUCCAAGAGAGAUAAGUCCCGGCUCUCUAGAGGGAGAACCAUGUGCAACAGACCAUACAUAUUGAGGAAUACCUCAAAACAAUUUCACAAAGCUAAACGGAACGAGUAAGCGACGAGGAGUCGUCGUAUGAUCUCGUUUAAGAUAAUACAUUGGAAAA